UACGGAGGAGGCAAGCGUUAUCCGGAAUUAUUGGGCGUAAAGCGUCCGCAGGCGGCACUUCAAGUCUGUCGUGAAAGACUGGGGCUUAACCCUGGAAAGGCGUUGGAAACUGAAGCGCUAGAGUGCGGUAGGGGUAGAGGGGAUUCCCGGUGUAGCGGUGAAAUGCGUAGAGAUCGGGAAGAACAUCGGUGGCGAAAGCGCUCUACUGGCCCGCAACUGACACUCAGGGACGAAAGCUAGGGGAGCGAAUGGG
rnacentral:rRNA from 1 species